UAUAUAUAUAUAUAAAUGAGAUGUGAUUUGGGCUAGGUGGCAUUGGAUUUGGGACAUUUUUGCUGAUGUGGCAACUUAUAUUUUUGAGUUUAGGAGGGAAUUCUCAAAUGCCUUCAUCAUUCACGAUUUUAACAAAAAAGUGGCGGGAUCCGGCUGUGAUUCGGGUCACCCAAUAUUAAAAAACGGAUCCUAUAUAUCAUCUUUACCAGACCACCAUAUCUCAUAACCUCACUUUUCACAAACCCUACAUACCAUUUCCUAAAUCUGCUUCUUCGUUUUUCAGAGAUUCAUCGUCCUUAGAUGAGAUUCAUAAGGACGACAAUGUUUUGAUGCUUUCUUCAUCUUCAUGGUUUGCUUGUGGUCUUUCGUAUCCGUCAAAACCCUAAUCGACCGGAGAAAUCGUCAAAAGUUCUUCACAAUAUGAUCGUUCCACAUAAUUUGCAGAUAUGCAUCCCUUGCACAACAGUCCUUCAUUUUUAAAGCUUAUUGAUGAAGAUGACCCGAUAUUUUUGGU